rnacentral:rRNA from 1 species
UACGUAGGUACCGAGCGUUAUCCGGAUUUACUGGGCGUAAAGCGCGUUCAGGCGGUUUGGCAAGUCGGGCAUGAAAUCUCUCGGCUCAACCGGGAGAGGUUGUCCGAUACUGCUGGACUUGAGGGCAGUAGAGGGUGGUGGAAUUCCGGGUGUAGUGGUGAAAUGCGUAGAUAUCCGGAGGAACACCAGUGGCGAAAGCGGCCACCUGGACUGUACCUGACGCUAACACGCGAAAGCUAGGGGAGCGAACGGG